rnacentral:rRNA from 1 species
UACGGAGGGGGUUAGCGUUGUUCGGAAUUACUGGGCNUAAAGCGCGCGUAGGCGGACCAGAAAGUUGGGGGUGAAAUCCCGGGGCUCAACCCCGGAACGGCCUCCAAAACUCCUGGUCUUGAGUUCGAGAGAGGUGAGUGGAAUUCCGAGUGUAGAGGUGAAAUUCGUAGAUAUUCGGAGGAACACCAGUGGCGAAGGCGGCUCACUGGCUCGAUACUGACGCUGAGGUGCGAAAGUGUGGGGAGCAAACAGC